rnacentral:rRNA from 1 species
GACAGAGGAUGCAAGCGUUAUCCGGAAUGAUUGGGCGUAAAGCGUCUGUAGGUGGCUUUUUAAGUCCGCCGUCAAAUCCCAGGGCUCAACCCUGGACAGGCAGUGGAAACUACCAAGCUGGAGUACGGUAGGGGCAGAGGGAAUUUCCGGUGGAGCGGUGAAAUGCGUAGAGAUCGGAAAGAACACCAACGGCGAAGACUCUGCUGGGCCGACACUGACACUGAGAGACGAAAGCUAGGGGAGCGAAUGGG